rnacentral:lncRNA from 1 species
GCAGACAGAGCUGGGAGAGACGUUUGGUGAGGCGAGCCAGAAAUACAAUGUGCUCUUCGUGGGCUAUUGUCUGUCUCACGACCAGCGCUGGCUUUUGGCUUCCUGCACUGACCUCCAUGGGGAAUUAUUAGAGACCUGCGUUGUAAAUAUUGCUUUACCAAACAGGGACCCCUUCCCCUUCCCCAUUUCUUUAUUUGUUAGGUCACGGAGGAGUAAAGUAUCUGCACGUAAAAUUGGACUACAGAAGUUAUGGGAGUGGUGCAUAGGGAUUGUCCAAAUGACAUCUCUACCCUGGAGAGUUGUAAUCGGGCGACUUGGGCGUCUUGGCCAUGGGGAGCUUAAAGAUUGGAGUAUCCUCCUUGGAGAAUGUUCACUACAGACAAUCAGCAAAAAGCUCAAGGAUGUGUGCCGGAUGUGUGGAAUCUCUGCCGCAGACUCUCCUUCUAUCCUUAGUGCCUGCCUGGUUGCCAUGGAGCCCCAGGGGUCCUUUGUAGUGAUGCCAGAUGCUGUCACAAUGGGCUCUGUUUUUGGCCGAAGUACUGCACUGAACAUGCAGUCAUCUCAGCUCAACACCCCUCAAGAUG